UAGAGUUUGAUCAUGGCUCAGGACGAACGCUGGCGGCGUGGAUUAGGCAUGCAAGUUGAACGGUAGGAAGCUUUCGGGCUUCUGAGAGUAGCGAACGGGUGAGUAACGCGUAGGUAAUCUGCCUUCAAGUGGGGGACAACCCGGGGAAACCCGGGCUAAUACCGCAUGUGUCCGAAAGGAUAAAGCCGGCCUCUGAAUAUGCUGGUGCUUGGAGAUGAGCCUGCGUCUGAUUAGCUAGUUGGUGGGGUAACGGCUCACCAAGGCGAUGAUAAGUAGGCGGCUUUAACGAGUGGUCGCCCACACUGGGAUUGAGAUACGGCCCAGACUCCUACGGGAGGCAGCAGUCGAGGAUAGUCUACAAUGGUCGAAAGAUUGAUAGUGCGACGCCGCGUGAACGAUGAAGCAUUUCGGUGUGUAAAGUUCUUUUCUAUGCGAGCAGAGGUUUCAUAGUGAACAAUUAUGGGAUUAGGAUAUUAGUAUAGGAAUAAGCCACGGCUAACUCCGUGCCAGCAGCCGCGGUAAUACGGGGGUGGCGAGCGUUGUCCGGAAUUACUAGGCGUAAAGGGCAGGUAGGCGGAUAGAUAAGUUAAUCGUUAAAGACCGGCGCUCACCGUCGGGGCUGCGAUUGAUACUGUUUAUCUGGAAUCGAGUGGGGGAAGACGGAAUUCCUGGUGUAGCAGUGGAAUGCGCAGAUAUCACGAGGAACACCGAAGGCGAAGGCAGUCUUCUACGCUUGUAUUGACGCUAAACUGCGAAGGUGCGGGUAUCAAACAGGAUUAGAUACCCUGGUAGUCCGCACAGUAAACGAUAUUCACUAGGUGUUGGCGGGAUAGACCCGUCGGUGCCGUAGCUAACGCGAUAAGUGAAUCGCCUGGGGAGUACGAUCGCAAGGUUGAAACUCAAAGGAAUUGACGGGGGCCCGCACAAGCGGUGGAUGACGUGGAUUAAUUCGAUGCAACGCGAAGAACCUUACCUACCCUUGACAUGCCAGGAAUCCCGGAGAGAUCUGGGGGUGCCCGAAAGGGAACCUGGACACAGGUGCUGCAUGGCUGUCGUCAGCUCGUGCCGUGAGAUGUUGGGUUAAGUCCCGCAACGAGCGCAACCCUUGUCAUUAGUUGCUACGAAAGGGCACUCUAAUGAGACUGCCGGUGACAAACCGGAGGAAGGUGGGGAUGACGUCAAGUCCUCAUGGCCCUUAUGGGUAGGGCUUCACACGUCAUACAAUGGUCGGUACAGAGGGUUGCCAACCCGCGAGGGGGAGCCAAUCCCACAAAGCCGAUCGUAGUCCGGAUCGCAGUCUGCAACUCGACUGCGUGAAGUCGGAAUCGCUAGUAAUCGCGGAUCAGCAUGUCGCGGUGAAUACGUUCCCGGGCCUUGUACACACCGCCCGUCACACCAUGGGAGUAGGUUGCUCCAGAAGUAGUUAGCCUAACCGCAAGGGGGGCGAUUACCACGGAGUGAUCCAUGACUGGGGUGAAGUCGUAACAAGGUAACCGUAA
rnacentral:rRNA from 1 species